UACAGAGGUGGCAAGCGUUGUUCGGAAUUACUGGGCGUAAAGGGCGCGUAGGCGGCCUUCUAAGUCGGACGUGAAAGCCCCAGGCUUAACCUGGGAACUGCGUCCGAUACUGGGAGGCUUGGAUUCGGGAGAGGGAUGUGGAAUUCCAGGUGUAGCGGUGAAAUGCGUAGAGAUCGGCAGGAACACCCAGGGGGAAACCAGUCGACUGGGCAUCUACUGACGCUGAGGUGCGAGAGCGUGGGGAGCGAACCGG
rnacentral:rRNA from 1 species